rnacentral:rRNA from 1 species
UACGAAGGGGGCAAGCGUUGCUCGGAUUUAUUGGGCGUAAAGGGUGUGUAGGUGGCUUGAUAAGUUAGAUGUGAAAGCCCUGGGCUUAACCCGGGAAUUGCAUUUAAGACUGUUGAGCUUGAAGUUUGGAGAGGUUAGCAGAAUUCCCAGUGUAGAGGUGAAAUUCGUAGAUAUUGGGAAGAAUACCGAUGGCGUAGGCAGCUAACUGGCCAAAACUUGACACUGAGGCACGAAAGCGUGGGGAGCAAACAGG